rnacentral:rRNA from 1 species
UAAAGAAUUAUCGCUGAUAGAUGGGCAUGCGUUCCAUUAGAUAGUUGGUGAGGUAACGGCUCACCAAGUCCACGAUGGAUAGGGGUUCUGAGAGGAAGGUCCCCCACACUGGUACUGAGACACGGACCAGACUCCUACGGGAGGCAGCAGUGAGGAAUAUUGGUCAAUGGGCGAGAGCCUGAACCAGCCAAGUCGCGUGAAGGAUGAAGGAUCUAUGGUUUGUAAACUUCUUUUAUAUGGGAAUAAAGUGAGGAACGUGUUCCUUUUUGUAUGUACCAUAUGAAUAAGCAUCGGCUAACUCCGUGCCAGCAGCCGCGGUAAUACGGAGGAUGCGAGCGUUAUCCGGAUUUAUUGGGUUUAAAGGGUGCGUAGGUGGUUAAUUAAGUCAGCGGUGAAAGUUUGUGGCUCAACCAUAAAAUUGCCGUUGAAACUGGUUGACUUGAGUAUAUUUGAGGUAGGCGGAAUGCGUGGUGUAGCGGUGAAAUGCAUAGAUAUCACGCAGAACUCCGAUUGCGAAGGCAGCUUACUAAACUAUAACUGGCACUGAAGCACGAAAGCGUGGGGAUCAAACAGGAUUAGAUACCCUGGUAGUCCACGCAGUAAACGAUGAUUACUAGCUGUUUGCGAUACACAGUAA